rnacentral:rRNA from 1 species
UAAUACGAAGGGGGCUAGCGUUGUUCGGAUUUACUGGGCGUAAAGCGCGCGUAGGCGGGUCACUAAGUCAGGGGUGAAAUCCCGAGGCUUAACCUCGGAACUGCCUUUGAUACUGGUGACCUGGAGAUCGGGAGAGGUUGGUGGAAUUCCGAGUGUAGAGGUGAAAUUCGUAGAUAUUCGGAGGAACACCAGAAGCGAAG